GACGAACGCUGGCGGCGUGCUUAACACAUGCAAGUCGAGCGGUAAGGCCCUUUCGGGGUACGACGAGCGGCGAACGGGUGAGUAACACGUGGGUGACCUGCCCUCAGCUCUGGGAUAAGCCUGGGAAACCGGGUCUAAUACCGGAUAUGACUCCAUGACGCAUGUUGUGGGGUGGAAAGCCUUGUGCGGCUGAGGAUGGGCCCGCGGCCUAUCAGCUUGUUGGUGGGGUGAUGGCCUACCAGGGCGACGACGGGUAGCCGGCCUGAGAGGGCGACCGGCCACACUGGGACUGAGACACGGCCCAGACUCCUACGGGAGGCAGCAGUGGGGAAUCUUGCGCAAUGGGCGAAAGCCUGACGCAGCGACGCCGCGUGAGGGAUGACGGCCU
rnacentral:rRNA from 1 species